rnacentral:rRNA from 1 species
GAUGAACGCUGGCGGCGUGCCUAAUACAUGCAAGUCGAGCGAACAGACGAGGAGCUUGCUCCUCUGACGUUAGCGGCGGACGGGUGAGUAACACGUGGAUAACCUACCUAUAAGACUGGGAUAACUUCGGGAAACCGGAGCUAAUACCGGAUAAUAUAUUGAACCGCAUGGUUCAAUAGUGAAAGACGGUUUUGCUGUCACUUAUAGAUGGAUCCGCGCCGCAUUAGCUAGUUGGUAAGGUAACGGCUUACCAAGGCGACGAUGCGUAGCCGACCUGAGAGGGUGAUGGGCGACACUAGAACUGAGACACGGUCCAGACUACUCCGGGAGGCAGCAGUAGGGAAUCUUCCGCAAUGGGCGACAGCCUGACGGAGCAACGCCGCGGGAGUGAUGAAGGUCUUCGGAUCGUAAAACUCUGUUAUUAGGGAAGAACAAAUGUGUAAGUAACUAUGCACGUCUUGACGGUACCUAAUCAGAAAGCCACGGCUAACUACGUG